rnacentral:rRNA from 1 species
ACGUACACUCCUGCGGGAGGCAGCAGUGGGGAAUAUUGCACAAUGGGCGCAAGCCUGCUGCAGCCAUGCCGCGUGUAUGAAGAAGGCCUUCGGGUUGUAAAGUACUUUCAGCGGGGAGCAAGGCGAUAAGGUUAAUAACCUUGUUGAUUGACGUUACCCGCCGAAGAAGCACCGGCUAACUCCGUGCCAGCAGCCGCGGUAAUACGGAGGGUGCAAGCGUUAAUCGGAAUUACUGGGCGUAAAGCGCACGCAGGCGGUCUGUCAAGUCGGAUGUGAAAUCCCCGGGCUCAACCUGGGAACUGCAUUCGAAACGGGCAGGCUAGAGUCUUGUAGAGGGGGGUAGAAUUCCAGGUGUAGCGGUGAAAUGCGUAGAGAUCUGGAGGAAUACCGGUGGCGAAGGCGGCCCCCUGGACAAAGACUGACGCUCAGGUGCGAAAGCGUGGGGAGCAAACAGGAUUAGAAACCCGGGUAGUCCCA